UCAGCUAAUCCCUUGUACAAGUAUACUAUUCCUGGACUAGUUUACAGAUUUGGUAUACAACAUACAAAUAUGUAUCUGCCUACAUAUGUAAACUCUCAUAAUCUGUUCAAGAGGUCAACGAAGGUGUCUUCCUUGCAUGGAAUUAUGUGUCCACCUUCUGGAUGACUAAAUCCAAAUUCUUCCUCAGCUUGACUUCGCAGGUCUUGAAAUGUAGGCUUAUUUACAAAUCUUCUUCUUUGGUUCUUUGGAUAUAAGAGAGUUAGUAACAUAAUACAUAUUGAGAUGAACAGCAUACAGAUAAUGGCUAGAAACUCUCAAGUUAGACAGGCAACGCAGGAAAUUUCGUGCUUUUAGUUUAGUGCUCAUCUGAUGUUUUUUCCUUCAAAACGGUUUCUUUUGUUGAAUUCAUGUAUCAUGUAGUAUUUGGCAGGAGGAGUUCAACUAAUGGGGGAGGUUUCUAAGACUUCCCUCGCAAGGUUUUGUAAAGCUAUUGUCUUAGGUUUAUUCAUUUAUUUUCGUCAUAUUUUCUGCAUUUGUAGAGCUAUUCACUUCGAGAAACUAUUGCAUUAGUUUAAUGGUUGUUGAAUGUGUACAUUAGAUUUUUCUUUACAAUUCAGCAUACUCAUUGCAGAAUGUGGAAGUCUAAUAAUUUCUUGUUGAACUUGUAUGUUCAUAGCUCAUAGUUUUGACAGGUGUUAUGUUAUGAACUUGUUGUAUCUCGACAUCCAAAAUAUUUGCAAAAGUUGGAAAAAAAUGAAAAAGGAAAUUUGGAAAUUUAAACUAUGAUAUUUAUGUAUAGUUGAGUGAGAGAAAUCAUAUACCUCACAACUACUGUACUAUGCAGAAUCAUUAAACUUAAAAUAUAUCCCUUCAAUAUCCCUUCAAUAAUUUGAUGUUAGCUAGCACCAAUGUUAGCUUCGUCAUCAUCAAAGUGUUCUUCUAAAAACUUUGCUUGUUUAAUUUUGGAAGGAUGCAAACAAAUUGGAUCUAUAUGGACUGUGUCUAUUCUCAGGAUCUAAUAGUAUUAUCCGCUCAUUUCAGGAUGAGGCUAAAGAGCCCCCAUGCCCCUUGUUGGCUCUUGCAUUAAUCAAUGCUCAGUUGUCACCAUUAUUCCAUUGAACAUUAUCUUCAAAUUUUGUGAAACGCGUUAGAACUAGGGAGCCAACUUGGCCAACAUGGAUGCAUAAUGCAUGCAUCUGAUAUCAGUCCCUGCAUAAAUAUGAACACUUUUAUUUUUUACAUAAAGAAAAAACAUAUUCUCCUGCUACUUGCCUCUUCCUCUGUUUCGUUGAAAAAUAAGCACUUGUAGUUGGUACUUGGGUGCAAAAUUCAACUUUAUUCCAAAGAAUUGUAUUGAUUUGUAUUGUGACUUUGUGCGAUGCCUAUAUAGUUGACUUCCCUCGUCAACUUCUUUGGAAGGUAAUUAAAUUUUUCUUUUGCUAAGAAACUACUUGGAAGGCACCUAAUUUCACUUCCAAGUUCCUAUCAUUUUAUAUUAAUCUGCCAAUUUUGUGUUAGAAAUACAUCUUCUCAAUAAUGUCUAAAGUAUAGAUUAACUAACAAUGUUUUAAUUAGUUGCAGGUUUCUAUCCCUCAUACUAAUUUAAUUCACCUAGUCUAAAGUAUAGAAUGCCUCGUUUUGUCAUGCCUUCUUGAGUUUCAGAGGGGAAACCCGCAACAAGUUCACAUGCCUCUUGUACGAGGGACUGAAAACCGUAGGAUUUACAGCUUUCAUGGACAGAACUGCCAUACGUGUUGGAGAUGAAGUAGAUUCAACAAUCAAAGAAGGGAUCAGAAACUCUAUGAGCGCCAUAAUUCAACAAUCAAAGAAGGGAUCAGAAACUCUAUGAGCGCCAUAAUUAUAUUCUCCCAAAAUUAUGCCUAUUCUACUUGGUGUCUUGAUGAACUUGUUCUUAUCCUUGAACGCAAAACGAACUCAAGGUAUUUAAUUAUACCAAUUUUUUAUGAGGUCGAAAUUCGAGAUAUUAAACACCAGCUUGGAAAUUAUGGCCUUGCGCUUGAAAAGCAUAGGGCUAGGCACAAUGACAAGGUAGACAAGUGGAAAGAAGCUCUUGCAGAAGUUGGUAAUAUUUUUGGACAGCAUGUAGAAGGGCUGCAGAGCACCUUUAUCCAAAACAUUGUAAAAUUGUUUUGUGUGGAAUUGGCUGCCAAGUUCCCAGAUUAAAGUCACCUUCCUACACUAGAAGGUCCAAGUUCACAAGGCAGUUCUUCAUCGUCAAUGUUGAGACCUAAGCCAUCCAACAACAAGGUGAUUCUUUACAUGAUUAGUGUUAAUAAUGGCCUAGGUUCAAAUGGGUUGGUAAAGAAACUUCUGAUGAGUGGGAAUGCUGUAUUUGAGGAGAGGAAUUGUUCAACAGAAUCAGAGUAUAUGAGAGAGCUAGAAGAGCUGGUCGGUAAUGACAGGGUAAGGUUCCCUAUGGUGAUUGUGAAUGGGAAGGACUUGUGCGGAGCAGAAGAGGUGGAGGGUUUAGAUGAUUUCGAGAACAAGCAAAAGCUUAUAUCAGUACUGAAUCAUCUCUAUGUUUCUGCAAAAACAAUAGAAAAUCUUCAUGGCAUGUUUAGUAGGAGUUUAAUAUUUGAAAGUAGUAUUCAGGACCAGUGGAUCAAUCGGAGAUACUCUUAGUGGUUGUGCUACUUCUUUUCCUAUUUCUUUACCAUGUUUCUUUUAAUAUAAAUGUAUCUAGCUCUCAUUCUUUGA